rnacentral:rRNA from 1 species
CCCUUAGAUGUCCUGGGCCGCACGCGUGCUACACUGACGCCUACAGCGAGUACUUCCCAGCCCCGAGAGGCGGCUGGUAAUCAGCAAUAGGCGUCGUGAUGGGGAUAGAACUUUGGAAUUAUUGUUCUUGAACGAGGAAUGCCUAGUAAGCGCACGUCAUUAGCGUGCGCUGAUUAAGUCCCUGCCCUUUGUACACACCGCCCGUCGCUCCUACCGAUUGAAUGGUCCGGUGAAGCCUCCGGAUUGCACAGGCCCCGUGUCUGGCGCGAGAAGUUGGCUAAACCUUACCAUUUAGAGGAAGGUGAAGUCGUAACA